UGGCCAGACUCCUACGGGAGGCAGCAGUGGGGAAUAUUGCACAAUGGGGGAAACCCUGAUGCAGCGACGCCGCGUGAAGGAAGAAGUAUUUCGGUAUGUAAACUUCUAUCAGCAGGGAAGAAAAUGACGGUACCUGACUAAGAAGCCCCGGCUAACUACGUGCCAGCAGCCGCGGUAAUACGUAGGGGGCAAGCGUUAUCCGGAUUUACUGGGUGUAAAGGGAGCGUAGGCGGCGAUGCAAGUCAGAAGUGAAAGCCCGGGGCUCAACUCCGGGACUGCUUUUGAAACUGUGUUGCUAGAUUGCAGGAGAGGUAAGUGGAAUUCCUAGUGUAGCGGUGAAAUGCGUAGAUAUUAGGAGGAACACCAGUGGCGAAGGCGGCUUACUGGACUGUAACUGACGUUGAGGCUCGAAAGCGUGGGAAGCAAACAGGAUUAGAUACCCGAGUAAC
rnacentral:rRNA from 1 species